rnacentral:rRNA from 1 species
UACGGGGGGAGCAAGCGUUGUUCGGAUUUACUGGGCGUAAAGGGCGCGUAGGCGGCCACCGCAAGUCAAUUGUGAAAUCUCCGGGCUUAACUCGGAAAGGUCAACUGAUACUGCGGGGCUAGAGUGCGGAAGGGGGCAACUGGGAAUUCUCGGUGUAGCGGUGAAAUGCGUAGAUAUCAGGAGGAACACCCGGUGGGCGAAAGGGCGGGGUCUCUGGG